AAGUCUGGAAGUCCUCUCUGAAGCACUUCCUGGGGAAUGCAAAGGAGGAGGCCCCUGCCCUCUGAGAGCUCAAGAUCUGGCAGGCAGGAAAAAGAUACACACACGACAGGACAUACGGGUUCAUGCAGGAGAAGCCUGAGGACAGCAGCUGAAGGUCUUCACACGCUAUGGAAAGUGCUACACGUUCAACUCGGGCCGAGAUGGGCGGCCGCGGCUGAAGACCAUGAAGGGUGGGACGGGCAAUGGGCUGGAAAUCAUGCUGGACAUCCAGCAGGACGAGUACCUGCCUGUGUGGGGGGAGACUGACGAGACGUCCUUCGAAGCAGGCAUCAAAGUGCAGAUCCAUAGUCAGGAUGAACCUCCUUUCAUCGACCAGCUGGGCUUUGGCGUGGCCCCAGGCUUCCAGACCUUUGUGGCCUGCCAGGAGCAGCGGCUCAUCUACCUGCCCCCGCCCUGGGGCACCUGCAAAGCUGUUACCAUGGACUCGGAUUUGGAUUUCUUCGACUCCUACAGCAUCACUGCCUGCCGCAUCGACUGUGAGACGCGCUACCUGGUGGAGAACUGCAACUGCCGCAUGGUGCACAUGCCAGGGGAUGCCCCAUACUGUACACCAGAGCAGUACAAGGAGUGUGCAGAUCCUGCUCUGGACUUCCUGGUGGAGAAGGACCAGGAGUACUGCGUGUGUGAAAUGCCUUGCAACCUGACCCGCUAUGGCAAGGAGCUGUCCAUGGUCAAGAUCCCCAGCAAAGCCUCAGCCAAGUACCUGGCCAAGAAGUUCAACAAAUCUGAGCAAUACAUAGGGCAGGUAUCUCCGUCAGCAACUCAUUUUAUGGAUAUGGAAACUGAGAUUCAGAGAGGCUGCCUUGCCAAGGUCACCUGGUUAGUAAGAGGUAGAGAUAUGACUUGAACUUAGGUCUCCUCCCCCAAUCCCUGUGCAGGGAGAACAUCCUGGUGCUGGACAUUUUCUUUGAAGUCCUCAACUAUGAGACCAUUGAACAGAAGAAGGCCUAUGAGAUUGCAGGGCUCCUGGGUGAGCUGCUGAUGACACCUGUCCCCUUCCCAUGCCAUGGGCAUGGCGUGGCUCCCUAUCAUCCAAAAGCAGGGUGCUCACUUCUGUCCCAUGAGGGUCCUCCACCCCAGAGGCCCUUCCCCAAACCCUGUUGUCUUGGUAAGUGGUGAGGGAAGGGAACUGAGCCUUCUCUUAGGGCAAAGUGGAAAAGAGA
rnacentral:sRNA from 1 species